UGGGGAAUAUUGGACAAUGGGCGAAAGCCUGAUCCAGCCAUGCCGCGUGUGUGAAGAAGGUCUUCGGAUUGUAAAGCACUUUAAGUUGGGAGGAAGGGUAGUAACCUAAUACGUUGCUACUUUGACGUUACCGACAGAAUAAGCACCGGCUAACUUCGUGCCAGCAGCCGCGGUAAUACGAAGGGUGCAAGCGUUAAUCGGAAUUACUGGGCGUAAAGCGCGCGUAGGUGGUUCAGUAAGUUGGAAGUGAAAUCCCCGGGCUCAACCUGGGAGCUGCUUUCAAAACUGCUGAGCUAGAGUACGGUAGAGGGUGGUGGAAUUUCCUGUGUAGCGGUGAAAUGCGUAGAUAUAGGAAGGAACACCAGUGGCGAAGGCGACCACCUGGACUGAUACUGACACUGAGGUGCGAAAGCGUGGGGAGCAAACA
rnacentral:rRNA from 1 species